UAGUUUGAAACACAAAAUAAAUGAUGGCUUCUUGAGGAAUAGAUUCAAACGUCAAUGGUUCAAAGCAAUUAAUUUAUGGAAUAACAUUUUCAAUCUUUUAAUUGAAGGGUUGAUUCUUCAUGACAUGGACAUAUUUGAUUCUACUUCUCUUUUGUCCUUCUUGCACAUUGUUCUCUUAGUGCGUUCACAUGAACGUAUCUAGGCUUUGAUGCUUCUUAGAGUUUGUUUCUUUGUAACUUAUUAUUUGUAUUGAGGAUAUUGUCCUCUUUUAUUCAUUCUUAUUAAUUAUUACUGAAUGUUGUUCUCGUAACACCUUUAUGUACUUUGUGCAUUAAUCAAUAAGAAGAUCAAUUUUAUUACAUUCACUAUCUUCUUCUAUUCCUCUUUCUUUUACCUCUGUAAACAUGUUAGAAACAAAUUAAAUUAGUCUUCUCCAAAUAUAUAUCAACAAAUUGGAAAUGAAUAAAUUAAUGAACUUAAGUCAAGCCAUUUUGCACGUACCUUGACUAAUUACACGAGAUACUUGUUACCUCCCACCAAUACUUAUAUCGGAUAACUCUAUCAACGAAAGCUUGGACAAAAGCCAAAAAUCACCAAUCUUUCCACCUACAUUGAAAUUGCACUCUGAGACCUCGUGGUUCUCAUUCCAACACUUACGAUUAUGCAAAUGCGUAAUACAAAAAGGAUUUAUAUUCUAUGACGAUCACAAAUUUACUUUCUUAAUGUAGUUAAUCGAUGUAGCAAGUUUACUCAAUCUAUAAUUUGAAGCCAUCAACAAUCAACAUACAUAUAAUUUUAUCCAUCAACAAUCAACAUACAUAAAAAGGGCUAUUUGUGCUUUUAAGUUAUCAACGUUGUUGCACCGGCCAACUAGUGUUCCAAAAAGAAAAUAAUUCAUCUAUUUGCUAAUAAGUUGAACAAUUUAACCAUACAUGUGAUCAGUGGCGGAACCAAGGAUCCUAAUAGGGGGAUUCGGAGUACAAAAGUAUCACACUUAGGUCUGGAAUAUAUAUAACUGAGCAUGUCGCAUAGGGUAAAUAAUUGGUACGAGUUUCAGACAAUCCCAUAUAUAUAGUAACGCACCUUAGCAUUUACCAGUAAUAAACUCCAACAACAUUAGUCUUGUUUUUUACCAGCUAGCGCGAGUCCACGACAUAGAAUAUAUGUAUAUAUCCUUACUCACUACAGAUCAACAGGAAUUUAGAUCAAUUAAUUUGGCUAAACAUGUCAAAGUUGUUGUAAUUAUUGAACACUACAAAAUUCAAUAUCACAGAAUCUGAGCACUAGUGAUAUGCUUAUCAGCCCACACCCUGGCUAUUGAAAACAUAAAAGCAAGAGAGUGGAAAUAUUAAAAAAUAGCACUUUCUUUCCCUUAAGCCAGUUCAUGGCAUGUGUUUUCUCAUAGCAGGUAACAAACUACUUGUUAAAAGAUAAUGGGGAAACAUUCAAAGUGAUAUAGAGAUGGAGUUAAAUAAUUAAAAUGAAAACCUGUAGAUCCAGAUGUUAAUGUAUUUUUUAUACUUUGAUUAUCAAUCAGAGCAAUUGAAUUGGUCCUUUAGACAGCUCUUUACUUUUCAAUGUGUGUAACUAUAAAUACAUAGGCCAAUGAAUCCCCAAAAGGCAUCACUUCUCAACUGAAAAACUAAAGGUUAUCUCCUUUCUUCUUCCUCUAACUAGCUUGGGAGGCUAGGUGGUGUAAUUUUUCAGCGAAAUGAGACUUAACAAUGGCGGCCCUGCCAAGGGUCGUCAAUAUUUGCCACAAAUCUUAGUGGCAUUGGCCAUAUUGGCUGUUGCUAAUGUAGUGUCGGCAGAGCCUUAUGUAUACUCUUCUCCACCACCUCCGGUGUAUGAGUACAAAUCACCACCACCUCCUUCUCCGUCUCCACCACCACCAUAUGUGUACAAAUCUCCACCUCCUCCCUCGCCUUCUCCACUGCCUCCAUAUGUUUAUAAGUCACCUCCUCCUCCUUCUCCGUCUCCACCACCACCACCACCAUAUGUGUACAAAUCUCCACCUCCUCCCUCGCCUUCUCCACCGCCUCCAUAUGUUUAUAAGUCACCUCCUCCUCCUUCUCCAUCUCCACCUCCACCAUAUGUGUAUAAGUCUCCACCACUUCCCUCACCGUCUCCACCACCACCAUAUGUGUAUAAGUCCCCACCACCUCCUUCACCGUCUCCACCACCACCCUAUGUGUACAAGUCUCCACCUCCACCUUCUCCUUCACCUCCUCCACCAUAUUAUUAUAAAUCUCCACCACCUCCUUCACCUUCUCCUCCACCACCUUAUUACUACAAGUCGCCACCUCCUCCAUCUCCAUCACCACCACCACCAUACUAUUACAAGUCUCCUCCUCCACCUUCUCCAUCACCACCCCCACCAUACUAUUACAAGUCCCCACCACCACCGGCUAAAUCACCUCCUCCCCCAUACUAUUACAAUUCUCCUCCACCACCAGUGAAGUCUCCCCCUCCACCAUACUACUACUCCUCGCCGCCACCACCAAAGAAAUCACCUCCUCCACCAUACUAUUACAGUUCUCCUCCACCACCGGUUAAGUCACCACCUCCUCCAUACUACUACUCCUCACCACCACCACCAAAGAAAUCACCUCCUCCACCAUAUCACUACAAUUCCCCACCACCACAAGUUAAGUCACCUCCAACUCCAUACUAUUACAAGUCUCCACCACCACCACCAAAGAAGUCUUCUCCCGCACCAUACUACUAUACUUCACCACCACCACCAGUAUAUUACUAUCCUCCACAUCAUCAAUUUGUAGUCAAAGUUGUCGGAAAAGUCUAUUGUUUUAGAUGCCAUAACUGGAAGCACCCAGAGAUGUCUCACAGCAAGAAACACAUGAAAGGUACCAUAAUCUUUACAGUUUAUACUACAAACAUAUUUUAUUUUAUGUUGCUUUGUUCAUUAUGCUCGGAUAAGAAUUCAUAUACAAACUGUUAUUGUGUUAAUUAAUGUUUCUUUUUACAUGUAUUAGGUGCUGUUGUUGAAGUGACUUGCAAGGCUGGUGACAAGGAAAUUAUAAGUUAUGGUACCACUAAGAUCAAUGGUAAAUUUAGCAUCACUAUUGAAGAAUUUGAAUAUAGCAAAUAUGGAGCAAAGGCUUGCAAGGCUAAACUCCACAGUGCUCCUAAGGAUUCAAAGUGUAGCAUUCCUACAAAUCUUCAUUGGGGAAUUAAGGGUGCUAACCUCAAAGUGAAGUCAAAGAAUAAAUACGAAGUUGUUCUCUAUGCAAAACCAUUUGCUUAUGGUUCUAAGACACCUUAUGCAAAAUGCCUAAAACCCAAGCCUACACCUGCUCCGUACUAUCACAAAUCUCCUCCUCCUCAGUCACCAAAAUAUGUUUACAAGUCACCACCUCCCCCAACCCCGACAUACGUGUAUAAGUCUCCACCACCACCUGCUUACUAUUACAAAUCUCCACCACCACCAUCACCAAAAUCCGCACCUAUAUACUAUUAUAAGUCACCACCACCACCAUCACCAAAACCCACACCUGUGUACUAUUAUAAGUCACCACCACCACCAUCACCAAAACCUGCACCAGUCUACUAUUAUAAAUCUCCACCUCCACCAUCACCUAAACCUACACCGGUAUACUAUUACAAAUCUCCACCUCCACCGUCACCAAAACCUGCACCAGUAUACUAUUAUAAAUCUCCACCUCCACCAUCGCCAAAACCUGCACCAGUGUACUAUUAUAAGUCACCGCCACCACCAUCACCUUCUCCACCACCUCCUUACUACUACAAGUCUCCUCCACCACCAUCACCAAAACCUGCACCUGUAUACUAUUAUAAAUCACCACCACCACCAUCACCAUCACCACCACCACCUUACUACUACAAGUCUCCUCCACCUCCAUCACCUUCUCCCCCUCCACCAUACUACUACAAGUCACCACCACCACCAUCGCCAUCUCCUCCACCACCCUACUACUACAAAUCACCCCCACCGCCAUCGCCAUCUCCUCCGCCACCCUACAUCUACAAGUCUCCUCCUCCACCAUCACCUUCACCACCUCCACCCUACUACUACAAGUCACCUCCUCCACCGUCACCUUCUCCGCCACCUCCUUACUACUACAAGUCACCACCACCACCAUCCCCAUCUCCUCCACCACCCUACUACUACAAGUCUCCUCCUCCACCAUCACCUUCACCACCCCCACCUUACUACUACAAGUCGCCUCCACCACCGUCACCUUCUCCACCACCUCCCUACUACUAUCACUCUCCACCUCCACCCGUAAAGUCUCCUCCUCCUCCUUAUUACUACAGCUCACCUCCUCCACCACUGAAAUCACCUCCUCCACCGGCAUACAUUUACGCUUCACCACCACCACCAGUCCACUACUAAAAGUCUUUAAGAGUUUAGUCAUUCUCCACAAUCAAUCAAGUAAGUAGUUGUUUAAUUUGUAAUUUUUCAUAUGAUACUCAACCUUUUUUGCUUCGUUUGUUUGAAUAAGUCUCUAAUCUUCUAUUUGGUUGUUUCUUUUCAGAUAUUAGUUUGAAACACAAAAUAAAUGAUGGAUUCUUGAGGAAUAGAAUCAAACGUCGAUGGUACAAAGCAAUUAAUUUAUGGAAUAAGAUGUACAAUCUUUUAAUUGAAGGGUUGAUUCUUCAUGACAUGGACAUAUUUGAUUCUACUUCUCUUUCAGUCUUCUUGCACAUUGUUCUCUUAGUGCGUUCACAUGAACGUAUCUAGGCUUUGAUGCUUCUUAGAGCUUGUUUCUUUGUAACUUAUUGUUGUAUUGAGGAUAUUGUCCUCGUGUUAUCCAUUUCCUAUCAAUUAUUAUUGAAUGUUGUUCUUGUAAUACCUUUGUGUACUUUGUGCACAAAUCACUACGAAGAUCAAUUUCAAGGAAACAAAUUUGAUACAUGUAGUAUUUUCUUGAUUUUCAAUUCCCCGCCUUCCAUUGUGUAUGACUAUUCUAUUCAUUGGAUACCUUCUACCUCCCGCCGGCUACAGGUACACUAGAUUACUCUAUCCUAGCACACACAAGAAGAAGUCUCCGAGUGUGAUUAUAUCAUCUAGUAUUUGAACCUAGGACCUAUUGAUUAUCAACCUACUUCAUUGACCACUAGGUCGAUCACGUUAGCUACCUAUGAAACACUAAUCAACACGCGUACCAUUACUUCAUUUACUCUUUUUCUCCUCCAAUUCAACAACAACAACAAAAAUGAUCUAUAUAAUACCAAUUAUAGUCUACCCUAAAUAAGUAUCUGAAAACAGCUUAAUUAACAAUUAUAAGUUCUAAUAGGGAAAUUUAGCAACUUUACCUCUUUUUGCAUAAUUGGUGCUAUCUUUGCUCCUUCUCAUUUGCCCUAAUUUGGAACCCUAAAUUACCUGCAAAUUGAACAGGUUAAUGAGUAAAAU
rnacentral:lncRNA from 1 species